AUCAGACAUGGAUCCUGCCUUUGAGGAGCUUU
rnacentral:piRNA from 1 species